CUCGAGUCGGAUGCCAAAGUGUGUGAGUGUGCGAGCUUACAGCAGUGCCCACAAAAGACAACGUUAGAGGGACGUUGAUGUUGCAGUCACUAAGGACAUGGAUUGGCCGAUGAGGAAUUUGACUGAUGUCUCCCCCCAUCUGCAGGGCAGCUGUAGUCACUAGCAGCGAGCAGAAAGCACGUCCCCCCACUCCGGCGGUCCUGUUCCCGGGUGCUGGACCUUCGCAUGGGGACCCUCUCAUCUGGAGACAUGGUCAGGUCACUGCCUCCGCUGCAAUCUGCUGAGAGAACUGUGAGAAAAGAAUAUGAUAUUAUAACAAUAUUCUGACAUAAAAGGUUUCAAGCUUUAAAUCCAGAGCUCACAUCAGUAGAUUCAGUAAUAAAAAGCCUUAAGCAUGAACUUAGCAUACCAUUAAAGCUUCAAUAGUGGCAUCAAUAAUUCCAUGAUUUUCAACAGCGAUACUGAAUAAUUAGAUAAUAUGACAGUUAUAAAAUAUUUUAACCAUCUAUGUUACACAUUAUCUUGACAGUGGGUAAAAAAAAAUGUAUUGCAUUGUGUUGUAAUAUUGUAUAUAUAUUAUAAAUAUAAGUAUAUAUUUCAAAAAUAUAUAUAUUUGGGGGGUAAACUUUGGGGUACGUUGCCUUAAAGUAACACUGUACUAUAAUGCUAAAGAAUGGAAAAAGAGAGUUAUUAUUUAAAGUCUGCAUAAAAUUUAUGAAAAUACUCAAUGGAAAUGGCUCAAA